rnacentral:rRNA from 1 species
AUUGAACGCUGGCGGCAGGCUUAACACAUGCAAGUCGAGCGAGCGGCGGACGGGUGAGUAAUGUCUGGGAACCUGCCUGAUGGAGGGGGAUAACUACUGGAAACGGUAGAUAAUACCGCAUACCAUCAGAUGUGCCCAGAUGGAAUUAGCUAGUAGGUGGGGUAAUGGCUCACCUAGGCGACGAUCCCUAUCUGUUCUGAGAGGAUGACCAGCCACACGGGAACUGAGACACGGCCAAGACUCCUCCGGGAGGCAGCAUUGGGGAAUAUUGCAAAAUGGGCGAAAGCCUGAUGCAGCCAUGCCGCGUGUGUGAAGAAGUCCUUCGGGUUGUAAAGCACUUUCAGCGAGGAGGCGUUACUCGCAGAAGAAGCACCGGCUAACUCCGUGCCAGCAGCCGCGGUAAUAC